UACGAAGGGGGCUAGCGUUGCUCGGAAUCACUGGGCGUAAAGGGUGCGUCGGCGGGUCUUUAAGUCAGGGGGGAAAUCCUGGAGCUCAACUCCAGAACUGCCUUUGAUACUGAAGAUCUUGAGUUCGGGAGAGGUGAGUGGAACUGCGAGUGUAGAGGUGAAAUGCGUAGAUAUUCGCAAGAACACCAGUGGCGAAGGCGGCUCACUGGCCCGAUACUGACGCUGAGGCACGAAAGCGUGGGGAGCAAACAGG
rnacentral:rRNA from 1 species